rfam:Pythium ultimum DAOM BR144 ctg_1117875580669, whole genome shotgun sequence.
UCCUCGGUGUUUUUUAACACCACCCAUUGUGAAGAUGAAAUUUGCU